GAUGAACGCUGGCGGCGUGCCUAAUACAUGCAAGUCGAGCGAACAGACGAGGAGCUUGCUCCUCUGACGUUAGCGGCGGACGGGUGAGUAACACGUGGAUAACCUACCUAUAAGACUGGGAUAACUUCGGGAAACCGGAGCUAAUACCGGAUAAUAUAUUGAACCGCAUGGUUCAAUAGUGAAAGACGGUUUUGCUGUCACUUAUAGAUGGAUCCGCGCCGCAUUAGCUAGUUGGUAAGGUAACGGCUUACCAAGGCAACGAUGCGUAGCCGACCUGAGAGGGUGAUCGGCGACACUGGAAGUGAGACACGGUCCAGACUCCUACGGGAGGCAGCAGUAGGGAAUCUUCCGCAAUGGGCGAAAGCCUGACGGAGCAACGCCGCGUGAGUGAAGAAGGUCUUCGGAUCGUAAAACUCUGUUAUUGGGGAAAAACAAAUGUGUAAGUGACUAUGCACGUCUUGACGGUACCUAAUCAGAAAGCAACGGCUAACUACGUG
rnacentral:rRNA from 1 species